GAAUAUUGGACAAUGGGGGAAACCCUGAUCCAGCAAUGCCGCGUGUGCGAAGAAGGCCUUCGGGUUGUAAAGCACUUUUGUCAGGGAAGAAAAUGUUUGGGUUAAUACCCUGAGCAGAUGACGGUACCUGAAGAAUAAGCACCGGCUAACUACGUGCCAGCAGCCGCGGUAAUACGUAGGGUGCAAGCGUUAAUCGGAAUUACUGGGCGUAAAGCGUGCGCAGGCGGUUGUGUAAGACAGGUGUGAAAUCCCCGGGCUUAACCUGGGAAUUGCAUUUGUGACUGCACGACUAGAGUGUGUCAGAGGGGGGUGGAAUUCCACGUGUAGCAGUGAAAUGCGUAGAUAUGUGGAGGAACACCAAUGGCGAAGGCAGCCCCCUGGGAUAACACUGACGCUCAUGCACGAAAGCGUGGGGAGCAAACAGGA
rnacentral:rRNA from 1 species